rnacentral:rRNA from 1 species
UACGGAGGGUGCAAGCGUUGUCCGGAAUCACUGGGCGUAAAGGGUGCGUAGGCGGGUCUUUAAGUCAGGGGUGAAAUCCUGGAGCUCAACUCCAGAACUGCCUUUGAUACUGAAGAUCUUGAGUUCGGGAGAGGGAAGCGGAAUUCCGGGUGUAGCGGUGAAAUGCGUAGAUAUCCGGAGGAACACCGGUGGCGAAGGCGGCUUCCUGGACCGACACUGACGCUGAGGCGCGAAAGCGUGGGGAGCGAACAGG